UCUUGCCAUCAGAUGUGCCCAGAUGGGAUUAGCUAGUAGGUGGGGUAACGGCUCACCUAGGCGACGAUCCCUAGCUGGGCUGAGAGGAUGACCAGCCACACUGGAACUGAGACACGGUCCAGACUCCUACGGGAGGCAGCGGUGGGGAAUAUUGCACAAUGGGCGCAAGCCUGAUGCAGCCAUGCCGCGUGUAUGAAGAAGGCCUUCUGGUUGUAAAGUACUUUCAGCGGGGAGGAAGGUGUUGAGGUUAAUAACCUCAGCAAUUGACGUUACCCGCAAAAAAAGCACCGGCUAACUCCGUGCCAGCAGCCGCGGUAAUACGGAGGGUGCGAGCGUUAAUCGGAAUUACUGGGCGUAAAGCGCACGCAGGCGGUCUGUCAAGUCGAAUGUGAAAUCCCCGGGCUCAACCUGGGAACUGCAUUCGAAACUGGGAGGGUAGAGUCUUGUAGAGGGGGGGUAGAAUUCCCGGGUGUAGCGGUGAAAUGCGUAGAGAUCUGGAGGAAUUACCGGUGGCGGAAGCCGCCCCCCUGGACAAAGACUGACGCUCAGGGGCGAAAAGCGUGGGGAGCAAACAGGAUUAGAUACCCCUGGUAGUCCACGCCGUAAACGAUGUCGACUUGUAGAUUGUGCCCUUGAAGCGUGGCUCCGGAGCUAAGCGUUAAGCGGACCGCCCGGGGGAGAACGGGCCGCCAAGUUAAAACUCAAAUGAAUUGACGGGGGCCCGCGACAGCGGUGAAGACAUGUGGUUUAAUUCUGAUGCACCGCGGGAAAACGUUACUCACUCUUGACGCUCAGAAGACAUUUCCAGAGAGUGGGUUGGU
rnacentral:rRNA from 1 species